GUGAGGAAUAUUGCGCAAUGGAGGCAACUCUGACGCAGCCAUGCCGCGUGCAGGAAGAAGGCGCUACGCGUUGUAAACUGCUUUUAACCGGGAAGAAACCCCAGGACGUGUCCUGGGUUGACGGUACCGGAGGAAUAAGCACCGGCUAACUUCGUGCCAGCAGCCGCGGUAAUACGAAGGGUGCAAGCGUUAUCCGGAUUCAUUGGGUUUAAAGGGUGCGUAGGCGGAGCGUUAAGUCAGUGGUGAAAUCCUGCAGCUUAACUGUAGACUUGCCAUUGAUACUGGCGCUCUUGAGUGCGCUUGAAGUGGGCGGAAUGUGCCGUGUAGCGGUGGAAUGCUUAGAUAUGGCACAGAACACCAAUUGCGAAGGCAGCUCACUAAGGCGAUACUGACGCUGAGGCACGAAAGCGUGGGGAUCGAACAGGAUUAGAUACCCGAGUAGUCC
rnacentral:rRNA from 1 species